AAUUGAGACAGGUGGUGCAUGGUUGUCGUCAGCUCGUGUCGUGAGAUGUUGGGUUAAGUCCCGCAACGAGCGCAACCCUUGUGUUUAGUUGCAAACAGGUCAAGCUGUGCACUCUAGACAGACUGCCGUGGACAACACGGAGGAAGGUGGGGAUGACGUCAAAUCAUCAUGCCCCUUAUGAUCUGGGCUACACACGUGCUACAAUGGCCGGUACAACGGGCAGCGAAGGAGCGAUCCGGAGCGAAUCCUAAAAAGCCGGUCCCAGUUCGGAUUGCAGGCUGAAACUCGCCUACAUGAAGUUGGAGUUGCUAGUAAUCGCGAAUCAGAAUGUCGCGGUGAAUGCGUUCCCGGGUCUU
rnacentral:rRNA from 1 species